UCAGUCCUCAUUAUACGGAUUAAUGUACUUACGUAGUUCGGGAAAAAAUCCUUUAGAGUGUCAUUCUAAAAUUGUGGUAUAAUUUAUGAGUACGUUCCUGAUGCAAUUUACUUGCCAAGAGUAUGGUUCAAUAUCGCAUUAUUUCAAAAGCAUUAAAAAGUAUCUUCAUUGGAUACUUAGUAUCCCUAGUUGGCUUUGACUUUCCUAAAUUAUCGACUUCGCAUUAACCCAAUCCAUAUUUGUUGUCCUUCUUUUUCAUGUGCUUAAUUUAAUUUCACCCAUGCAGCAACCUGUGCUCAAUAGCCUGGGCUAGAAUUAGGAGAUAAAUGCAGAAAGACACUAGCCCAAAAUUAAGAGAAGCUCGGAAUGAGCGAUCAUCAAAACGUCACUCCUUUUUCAAUUCAGCUGGACAGCGUAAGGCUGCCAAGUACGAGUGCGUUGCACACCCUUGAAGCACAUUUUAAAGGGCAUCGUCCAUCAACUUUCCGGUGUUACAGAAGCAUAUUAACAUUAUUCUAAUUCAGCCAAGUCGUACCCAAGAAAGUUAACAAGUUUUCCCUCCCAUUUUUCUUUGGGUGUGUAAAGUCCACCGCCGAGAAACCGAGUUUCCAUGCAUUUUUCCACUGUGUAUAAGUGGCAAUAAAGCCAACCAUAUUCCAUGUCGUCCCAUGGGGGCUCAGCACGUAACAGAAGCAAUGACAAUGGAGCGAGGCCCGAAUGAAUCAUGCUCAAGCAAACAAAUAUGGGGACUCGUUUCUGUCUCCCAAAGCUCUCUCUCUCUCUCUCUCUCUUUCUCUUUUAUGCUUUCUGUACUCAACUGUAUGUACAGUGCAUAUCUACGUAAUUGGAGGAUGAGUAAUAUCCAUAAUAUGGAAAUGGCUGUCCUAGACCGGAUCAAAGUCCAUGUUCAUCUAAUGGGAAUCCAAGAUCAGCCCAUGAUGAUGUCAAGUCAGGAGAUCGAGUACAAUGGAAAACACUUGAUUGGGUUUGAAUGUAAACACUCUGUAGUCUGUAAGUACGUACGUACGGUUUUUUCUUUCGGUGGACAAACUGUGAAAUGUGAACCAAAACCCGGGUCGCAUUCCACAUUCAGUCCUGAGUGAGUGUCUCUUUACCCCUAAUGUGGUUGGACACCUGCAGUGCUCUGUGCAAAUGUACAUAGCCGAAAGCUCAAUUACAAGUGCAAAUGUUGUGGUUACGUCAUGGGCUUAAAAGACCCAACAAACACUGAUGCCACUUCACAGAAUACGAUAACCUAGGGUGUACUUGUUAUACGUUUCUUUACUUUCGCAACUUUUCAUUCCUUAUGUGCUUUUAAGAAGGACAGUCUUGAUACGGUACAUAUUCAAUUGCCUGGGCGUUAAGUUGAGUAACAGAUGUCCUUUGUUUAUUGGGGCGUGACCUAUAUGAAUUGGUGUUUGACAAACUACACCAAAGCUAACAAGAUUCGUAAGAAUAGAGUAUGAGCUUGCGCUCUCACUCUGGGUUGUACAAAUGGCAAUUUGUAAUAUUAUCUCUACUGCUGAUAUUCACAACGCCAAAAUCGUGAAUUCAAGACCUGAACAUUAACCCUCAUUGCUCAAUCUUUAAAGACACACUGUCUAAUUCAUAGACGUUUUAAAACUCAUGACAUACGCUCUAGUCUUGGAUGGGAACAGACGGCCAAUUGGCAGACACCGGUUUGCCAGUGUUUAAUUGUGGGUGCGCGCUGAAAGCCUUACCUGAAAAUAAAACAUUAACAACUUUGAGCUCAUGGUUCGUUCAUAUUUGUUUCGUUUCAAGGUCAAUGUAGCCAUAUCUGGGGUUUUAUGUUGGGAAAAAUGCACUUUGCCUCUCAGGGCCCGGUUCAAGUUGGCAUUCCAAUCUCAGGGACUCGUUUUACUGCUUGAGAGGAAAAAUGUUCCUGCCGCGUUCAAGUUGGCAGGAACAAAAGAAAUCCAGCCUCGAGUGUCCGAUGUCUCGUUUGACUCGCCUACUUUUGGCCUUUGCUUGCGAGCCGUUAAAUCCCAAAUCCAAGGGAAAGAAAGACAUUUAGCCCAUCUGCUGGGCUUUGUGUAUGCAGCUAAAGAGACCACGGUGAGGUUUGGCGCGGUUUCAGAUUAAUUUGCGAUCCCAGGACUUCCGAUGCUUGUUUUCCCAUUUGUGAGACUUUUAAGAGAAGCAAGAUCAACAAUGAGGCAUUUCAACUCCCAUAUGAAAAUAUUUCGGCAAUAGAAUUUCACAUAAUUUCGUAUGACAGAACGGUUUUAUGUAAUCUAAAAAAGAUCUUACUUUCAGACUGUCUUAACGGGACCUAAAUAUUUUCAACCCGUUACCCAACACACUCCAUUAAAAUUUUUUUUUUUAAAUGCUUAAUGUCUUAACUAUGGAAAAAAUAGACUUUUAAGAAAGCCUCCUGGGAGCGUGAAAUUAAUCUAAAACCGCUAAAUCCCACCGUGAGACGUUAUUGUCCUUGGUGUUUUUGUAUCAGAGUGUUGUCUGGACUCCUGAGAUGAAGCACUCACUCACUCCUCACGGGAAUCUGGAAUUAAUUUCAUGGCGUCUUGCAUCAACGGAAAUAAGCACGCUUAAAGAAUGAGAUCUGCCCCUUGUGGAACUGUACAUGCUCCAUUUUGUGGUGACCCUGAAUCUCGCAUAAAGUUCAGAUGGCGGAAGAGAAGAUGCCUCUUGGGCCAAGGGCAAAUCCAGGGAUUUUCACGACGGACGGCACCUAGAACAGUUCAGUUAGAGCACUUUGGCCUCUGGAGAGUUGCUCUUCAAGUUGAGGUAUUAUAUUGCUUUUGAGGGUCGAUUUCGAACGAGACGUCUGGGGUUUUUAAUAAUUGAUAGAGGUUUCUUUCAUGGCCUAGAUCUUCCCUGAAGUGUGGACAAGCGAGAGCUCUGGAGGCUUGUUGAACUAGAUGAAGACAAGCUUGGCAACUAUUCGUAUAAAGUCUUUAGUGUCAAUUCUGUGGCUAUUUGAUCAAGGAGGUCUUAGCUCGAGUUUCCCAGACUGUAGCCACUCCUAGCAACCACAAAGUGCUCUAAAUGACCUUGGACUUGAAGAAGAAAGGAAGAGAGACGGUCUGGAUAUUUCUACCACGUCAGAAAUACCAUUUUUCAAAUUUAUAUCACCGAAAGCCUCCUCUCCCUUGGUUUCUUCACUUUCAUACAAUGAAUGGAACUCAGGUACGGACGAAGGACUACCAGAUUUUUAUUGCUCUACAUUCUAGAUUAACGAUCGAGGUUUCAAAACGCCAUUGCCAGCGGCCUAUGUAAUCCACCACAAUCACGAGGGAAGCCAAGCUUGGAUUUGGAAACCUAUCAAUUGAAUAACUUUUUGCAUUCUUUCAUCGGUGUUCAUACAAUGGAUCAAAUUGACACCAACAACACACACUACAAUAUGGCCAGGGUUGCCAAAACAGAAGGAAAUCACAACAUGCACGCAUCUGACUUCAGAUUUCUUUACAUCAUGUUCUCAUAAGUAUCCUUUUUGUAAAGGCCCGUUUUAUAAAUUCUCUGUGUGCAUUUGAGAACCAUAUAUGUCAAAACUGAGAUGAA